rnacentral:lncRNA from 10 species
CGGCGCUGUGUCGGACCCGUGCUGUGGCUGCCGAGAGCCAUUUUCUGCGAGUGUUUCUCUUCUUCAGGCCCUUUCGGGGUGUAGGCACUGAGAGUGGAUCCGAAAGUGGUAGUUCCAAUGCCAAGGAGCCUAAGACGCGCGCAGGCGGUUUCGCGAGCGCGUUGGAGCGGCACUCGGAGCUUCUACAGAAGGAAAUACCAGAAAGGAACCAGGGUCCGGUUGCGGCUAUUAGAUCUUGAACUUACGUCUAGGUUCCUGGGAGCAACAACAGAUACAACUGUACUAGAGGCUAAUGCAGUUCUCUUGGGAAUCCAGGAGAGUAAAGACUCAAGAUCGAAAGAAGAACAUCAUGAAAAAUAAAUGAACUUUGCUUAGUGGAUUGACUCCUUUGCUGAAGUCAGUUAUUCAUCAAGAAUGCAAUUAGACUAAUUGUGAAUAAAUGAUUGAAUGAAGAUAUAAUAAAUAAAAGCUAUAAUUAUAGAUAACUCUUAUUAGAAUUUUCUUUAGCAAUAUUCCCACCCCCCACCCCUUGUUUUGCUCUUAAUGUUUUUUUCCUUUGGUGGGGAUAGUAUACACUGUACUAAGAAAUUGUCAUUCAAUAAAUACGUUUUGAGUGCUGU